rnacentral:rRNA from 1 species
UACGAAGGGGGCUAGCGUUGCUCGGAAUCACUGGGCUUAAAGGGCGCGUAGGCGGGCUGUCAAGUCUGGGGUGAAAUCCCGCGGCUCAACCGUGGAACUGCCUCAGAUACUGACGGUCUCGAGGGAGGUAGGGGCGAGCGGAACUGAUGGUGGAGCGGUGAAAUGCGUUGAUAUCAUCAGGAACUCCGGUGGCGAAGGCGGCUCGCUGGACCUCUUCUGACGCUGAGGCGCGAAAGCCAGGGGAGCAAACGGG